rnacentral:lncRNA from 1 species
UGUGUUGUCUCUUUUGCUUUGUUCUCUCCUAUUGCUGAGAUACAUACAAACAGUUCCUUUGCCUGUCCAACAGAUGAUCCUUACUACUUGAUACAAAUUCAACCAUUGUGUCCCCUCUGGAAUCUACAAUAACGGCCCGCCAUAAUAGUUGCUUGUAGGGACCACCUACAGUGACCAAUUUUGGUCCACAGUGGCUGUUUCCCAUGAUGCCAAGAAGAACUGAUUCUGUCAGUGGUUGUUCGUCAUCCAGCUCGAGAUUUACAGUACUCUUCAGAGAAUUUGAAGAGAGUCAGAGUACCCUCCUUUAGAGAGUUUGAAGAGGCUGGUCCUGGGCCAAUUUGUCCUCAAAUUCCCUUCUUGGUCUGGCUCUUUUGCAAAAGAAUGGACUCCGCUGCCAGUUGGCGUAUUGCCAGUGUGGGACAGGGGAGAGAAAUUGAAGGGUGAGAGGAAGAGGGAAGACAUGCUCUGUCUGCUCCAUCUCCUUGACAGCGGCGCCUUGAUGGGCAGCAGUUGUGUUUCCUAAUGGUGCCCCAGCUCCGGAAAGAAAGACUUGGAGCCAUCAUGCAAGAGUAUCCAGGUGGGAUUCAGAAGGGAACUCAGAGGACCUCACCUCAUAGCCCAGAGCCAAAUAACUCAGCAAUAUCAUUGUAGUGCAUAUCUGAUGCGCUUUGGAAUUUUUAUCAGCUUUUCUAGCUAUUCUUGAUUUUAUUUAUUCGACAGGAUAAAUACAGCCAGCGAGAGAGGGAACACAAGCAGGGGGAGUGGGAGAGGAAGAAGCAGGCUCAUAGUAGAGGAGCCUGAUGUGGGGCUCAAUCCCAUAGCGCCGGGAUCACGCCCUGAGCCGAAGGCAGACGCUUAACCGCUGUGCCACCCAGGCGCCCCUCUGCCUACUUUUUCUAUCAAGGACUGACAAGUAAUGUUUGUAUUUUCUAUUAAUAUAGAGCUUUGGGUGGUUUUCCUUUCAAUUAAAAUAGUUUUGAGGUUUUGUUGUUUGUUUGUUUGGUGGGGGGGUGCCUGGUGGCUUACUUUUCAAAUAUGAUGCUUUGGUUAAUUUUGUCUCUAUUUCUUUCAUUUGUCUAGCUGAUUCCUAUGGUUUUCUUCAUGUUAUUCAAUAUGCUGAUGAUAGCAUUGUUGAGAUCAAUUCUGAUCUUAAUGUGAAUUAAUCAGACAUUUCGCUAGUGGGUGUGGUAAAUUUCCGUAAGUUUAUAGUAGAUUCUUUUUAUGAGUAAAGAAGUUUUCUCCUAUUCCUAAGUUGCUAUGAAUUGUGAUAGUAAAUGCUGAAUUUCACUAAUGCAUUUAAUGAGAUGAUCAGAAAACUUUUCUUCUUCAAGAUAUUAACAUACUGAACUCAUAGUAAACUUUUAAAUGCUAAAGUGUUCUUGCAUUCCUGCCUGGUAUUAAUCCAAUUUGAUCAUGAUGUAUAAUUUUUAAAUGCAUAGUUAAUUCAGUUUCCUGAUACUUCUUUUUAAAAAAAGAUUUUAUUUAUUUAUUUGAGGGAGAGUGAGAGAGAGAGAGAGAACACAAGCAGGUGGAGUGGCAGGCAGAGGGAGAGGGAGAAGCAGGCUCUCUGCUGAGCAGAGAACCAGACAAGGGGCUCAGUCCCAGAACCCUGGGAUCAUGACCCAAGCUAAAGGCAGCCACUUAACCAACUGAGCCACCCAGGUGCCCCAGUGUCCUGAUACAAUGAUUUUUGCAUCUAUGACUCAUGAAAGGCCAGAAGAUUUCCUUUCUUGUUCUGUCCUUCACUAGUUUUCAUAUCAAAUUUUUCCUAUUUUCUGCUUUCUGUAUAUCUUGAUUUUUAUGUUUCUCUUUUUUCACCAUUCUGAAUUUCUUUUGGAUUACUGUAGUUUUUUAAAACACUUCUACUGCCCUCCCCCACACACACUGACUUGGAAAUUAUAAAUUCUAUUUCUCUUGGUUUUUCCUUUGAAAAUUAUAAUAAAUAUUACACAUAGUUCUGACUAAUUCCAUCUUACUAUGUAAUUGUCCACUAUUUUUUGUCAGAUCUUCUUUUCUUGCUCCCUGAGUUAGACAUUGAUAUUAUUGUUCAAAUUUUUAAGAAAAAUAUAUCUUUUUCUUUAUUUUUAUCAAUUACUUCAUCAUUAUUCCUUCUCAUUUUUCUGGGACGGUUUUCUCUUUUUUGAAAUAUACUUUGGAAUUUCCUUUAUUGAGGGUUUAUUGGAGAAGAAUGAAUCUAUUUUUGGUUGUUGUUCUAAUAUGUUUUUAUUUUGUCUACAUCCCUGAAUAAUAACUUAUCUGUAUAUAUAAUGACAGGUUGAAAUUAAUCUGUAUCAGUACUUUGAAAUGUUCUUGUUUCCACUGUUGAGAUUGAGAAGUCUGCAGUGAAUCUAAUUAUUAUUACCUACAAAGGUCAUCUUUUUCUUCUGACUGCUUUUAAAAUUAUCUCUCUGUCUUUGCUUUUAUUUUUACUAUGUAUGUUGUGGAAGAAUUUUCCUUUAUUUAUUCUGAUUAUGAGGAUUUGUCCUUUAUUAAUUAUAAACAUUUAUUAACUAUUAUCUCUUGAAAUAUUGCCUCUUCCUUUUUCUAUUUGCUUCUUUCUUCUAGAACAUCAUAUAAAUACAUAUAUAUAAAUGUGUGUAUAUAUGUAUGUGUACAUAUAUAAUAUACA